rnacentral:tRNA from 1 species
UCCCUGGUGGCUCAAACGGUAAAGCGUCUGCCUACAAUGCGGGAGGCCCGGGUUCAAUCCCUGGGUUGGGAA